CGCAAUACGUGUGUUGGCUAGCAGUGAAUAUAGUUACUCUGUAUAUCACCGUUAUGCAGCUGGUUAGAAGUUACACGCACAAUACGUGUGUUGGCUAGCAGUGAAUAUAGUUACUCUGUAUAUCACAGUUAUGCAGCUGGUUAGAAGUUACACGCUCAAUACGUGUGUUGGCUAGCAGUGAAUAUAGUUACUCUGUAUAUCACCGUUAUGCAGCUGGUUAGAAGUUACACGCACAAUACGUGUGUUGGCUAGCAGUGAAUAUAUUUACUCUGUAUAUCACCGUUAUGCAGCUGGUUAGACGUUACACGCACAAUACGUGUGUUGGCUAGCAGUGAAUAUAUUUACUCUGUAUAUCACCGUUAUGCAGCUGGUUAGACGUUACACGCACAAUACGUGUGUUGGCUAGCAGUGAAUAUAGUUACUCUGUAUAUCACAGUUAUGCAGCUGGUUAGAAGUUACACGCUCAAUACGUGUGUUGGCUAGCAGUGAAUAUAGUUACUCUGUAUAUCACCGUUAUGCAGCUGGUUAGAAGUUACACGCACAAUACGUGUGUUGGCUAGCAGUGAAUAUAUUUACUCUGUAUAUCACCGUUAUGCAGCUGGUUAGACGUUACACGCACAAUACGUGUGUUGGCUAGCAGUGAAUAUAGUUACUCUGUAUAUCACCGUUAUGCAGCUGGUUAGAAGUUACACGCUCAAUACAUGUGUUGGCUAGUAGAGAAUAUAGUUACUCUGUAUAUCACCGUUAUGCAGCGGCUGAGAGUGUAACGGUGUGUACUGAUACAGCUGCCAGGAUAUUGGAUGCUACGUUAAAUUCUGCCCCUGUGCUUUAUAUCAAAAGCUGUCUGGAUGGUUUUCUUAUAUUAGAAAAAAAGGACGUGACGAUAAACACGCAAACUGCUAGUGACUGUUUUUCCACAGGACAGCAUCACAUGUCAAGUCCUAUAAUAUGAUCCAAAUAAAGUCACUACAUUUGAGAAUUAUUUAAAAAAAAAUUUAAAUACAUUUUCUCCAACAAUUUCCCUAAAAACAAUCUCAGUGAUUUUAUUUAUUUCUUGCAGAUCGCACACUUGGUUGGUUUACUAAUUAUUUAGACAUGCAUAUGAUGCAGAUUUCUGAACAUUCUCCUGCAAAUUUUCCACUAAAAGCAGAGAAAUAAAUCUACAAAAAAAUCUAAACCUGUGCAUCCCUAGUUAUACAUAACAGAAGUGAAUGUGCACUGGUGUUUAUUUCACCAUUUUGGUGUGCGAUUCACAAUUUCCUUGCCAGUUCUUCACAAUUCCCGCUUUAUAUUUUCAGACAGGUUUAAUUUUUAGAUAUUUUACAAUCUGUCAGUUUUAUUGCUCAGACUAACUGCCACACAAUAAACUUAGUUUGGCAACCAAAAAGUUCAUUAUUACCUGCAGUGAACCCCAGCAAUAUCUGUCUGUGAGUGUUGGGAGUGGUAUCUGACUCAGAGGUUAGACAGCGCUAGUUAUAAAGGGGUGAAAGAGAUGCGUGCCUCGUUGCAGUAACAAAAUGAUUGGUUGUCACAGCACAUUCCUGCAAGAGACAUAGAAUACAAAUCACUCUCAGACUUUGACAGAUUCCCUUUACGUUCUAAAUCGAGAAAAAUGUCAGAAGCAGAAUUCAAUUUUCAAGGCGCGUCGCAACACUCACUUUGAAUAUUUACAUGUUCAUUUGAUCCGAGCAUCUCCGGGUGGCAGAAAGUUAGCCGCCAUUUCCACAUAACCAAGCAUUAAUUCUGCAGCGCGCACGCAGGCCGUAAGCUCUGAGCUGGAGGGAUAAUUAUAUUUGUACAAAAUACAAAACAGAGGAUUUGCGGUUUUACUUUCUCUAUUUUGCAGUUUUUCAAAGGAUUGACUGCUUGUCAGACGCUGCUAGAUGAGGGUUUGAUGUCAGAAUAACCUUCAAGUAAUGUCAUAAGAACAGAAACAAAUUUUCCCUAAAUACUGUUAACUGUAUUUCACAUGCAUUUCAUAUGAUUUAUUAAACCAACAGAACAAGCAUUGGCUCAAUCCCAUAAUAAUAAUAAUGUGAUAAAUGUUUGAAUUUUAUGCAUUUACUGUUGCCUAAAUUACAAUCGGUGCUAUUUCAUUGAAUAUCAUUUCCCAUGAAAACGGUAGACUGCAGAUUUCUAAACCAUCUAAACCACUACCCACCCCUCACGCCUUAAGUUAAAUGAUCGGAAAUAAAGCUGAACCAUUGGUGUAGGUUUAAUAGUGUUGUAGAGUAAGAAAGUUCCUGAGAAUUAUAAGAUUUAGUACAUUGCAGAUCCAUUCACAUUGUCCAUUGAGCAACUAAGUGUCUGUAUCAGGAUCCAAACAUCUAAAUUAAACAUCUCGAUUUGUCACUGCUAGAGAAUGAAUGAGACAGGUAUUAAAGCUGAAACUGCGUCAUAAGUAAGAUUUACUCCUAAAACAGGAACUGACGAGAACGGACCAGGAGUUUGCAAAUAUUAGACCACAGUAGCCAAGCUGGAAAAUUAUACAAGACAUAAAACGUUUGUUAAUCCUUCACAUUCUCCGAUUUAGAGACCAACAUGCACAUGUACGGAAUGAUUGCAGAGGCACCAAAACAAAGCGCAGCGAUUCAUACGUUAGGUGUCACAGACAACAAAUGGGAAAUGUUGCCCCAUCUGCGUCACCUCAUUAAUAAAAACGUAUUCCGACAUAUCUAGUUACAGCGCACAGCCAAUUCCAACACCAAAAUAAGGAUUGCUAGAACAAGUUAACUUUGCUUUUCAAAAAAAAAAAAACACAUUUUAAGAUCUUUUGAUAUCAGACAACGUAACAGUUUUAUUAUGUUUGAUCCUGACUGUUCCACAGACCAUUAACACUUUGUUGCCAUUUCCUAGACUGUCACAGUCAUUGCCUUUUCGUGCCGCUCCAUGUGUUUUUCAUAUCGCAGCAUUUUCGACAGGAAAUCAUGGCGGAUUAGCAAAAUGCCUUAUAAUGCAGCCCACAUCACUGCAGCUUAUUACCUCAUAUCCAUGAAAUCCCUCAUAAGCCAGACUGUAGUGAAUAUGUGGACUGCUUCCUUGGAAGCAAUUAAGGUUCUAGAGGCAAAGUGUGAGAACCCUGCUGAUUUACUGUACGCAUAGUGCCAUACUCACUACCAACACAGAGAACCCAUGGCCCAGGGCAUUGUAACAGUGCAUUAUAAACGAGCAGGUCCCAAACAUGGAAAUAUUCUCUGAACUGUCAUUGUAUAUAAAAAUCAGACUCUAAAUGUAGACUGUAAGCUCUUUAGAGCAGGACAGAAUUACCGUUGGCUGCACAGAUAGCACUGGGUUCAGCCACAUUAUUGGGGUCCAUAGAAGUAUUGAAUGUUGGGCCCAUUAUAUGGUAAUAAUGAUGCAUCCUAUCAGCGCUGAGCAUUGGACGUUAAAUAAGAAAUGUGUUUCUGCUCUGAUGGUAUGAGGUCCAUUGCUUCCCCCUCCAUUAUGCAAAGCUUGCUGGUAGUUAGCGGGCUCCGUGCUGAAGGCUCUGUACCUUCCUAUGCAAUUGAACCUGCCAUGGUACUAGAAUAAUGUGACCGAUUGUAAUCACUGCCUUUAGACACUGUGAAUUUUCUUUCCCCCUUUUUUUGGUACUCUGUAUUUUUUAUAUAUUGUACAAUAUGAAACAAAAGACUUCGGAAGUAAAAAUAAAAAAACUGAAUUAAAAAAAAAAAAGUUACAACUC
rnacentral:lncRNA from 1 species